rnacentral:rRNA from 1 species
AUUGAACGCUGGCGGCAGGCUUAACACAUGCAAGUCGAACGAUGAUUAUCUAGCUUGCUAGAUAUGAUUAGUGGCGGACGGGUGAGUAACAUUUAGGAAUCUGCCUAGUAGUGGGCGAUAGCUCGGGGAAACUCGAAUUAAUACCGCAUACGACCUACGGGUGAAAGGGGGCGCAAGCUCUUGCUAUUAGAUGAGCCUAAAUCAGAUUAGCUAGUUGGUGGGGUAAAGGCCCACCAAGGCGACGAUCUGUAACUGGUCUGAGAGGAUGAUCAGUCACACCGGAACUGAGACACGGUCCGGACUCCUACGGGAGGCAGCAGUGGGGAAUAUUGCACAAUGGGGGCAACCCUGAUCCAGCCAUGCCGCGUGGGUGAAGAAGGCCUUUUGAUUGUAAAGCACUUUAAGCAGGGAGGAGAGGCUAAUGGUUAAUACCCAUUAGAUUAGACGUUACCUGCAGAAUAAGCACCGGCUAACUCUGUGCCAGCAGCCGCGGAAUACAGAGGGUGCGAGCGUUAAUCGGAAUUACUGGCCGUCGUUUUACAGUAGGUGGCUCAUUAAGUCACAUGUGAAAUCCCCCGGGCUUAACCUGGGAACUGCAUGUGAUACUGGUGGUGCUAGAAUAUGUGAGAGGGAAGUAGAAUUCCAGGUGUAGCGGUUGACAUGCGUAGAGAUCUGGAGGAUUACCGAUGGCGAAGGCAGCUUCCUUGGCAUAAUAUUUGACACUGAGAUUC